rnacentral:rRNA from 1 species
CCUACGGGUGGCAGCAGUGAGGAAUAUUGGUCAAUGGACGAGAGUCUGAACCAGCCAAGUAGCGUGAAGGAUGACUGCCCUAUGGGUUGUAAACUUCUUUUAUAAAGGAAUAAAACGAGGCACGUGUGCCUUUUUGCAUGUACUUUAUGAAUAAGGAUCGGCUAACUCCGUGCCAGCAGCCGCGGUAAUACGGAGGAUCCGAGCGUUAUCCGGAUUUAUUGGGUUUAAAGGGAGCGUAGAUGGGUUGUUAAGUCAGUUGUGAAAGUUUGCGGCUCAACCGUAAAAUUGCAAUUGAUACUGGCAGUCGUGAGUACAGUUGAGGUAGGCGGAAUUCGUGGUGUAGCGGUGAAAUGCUUAGAUAUCACGAAGAACCCCGAUUGCGAAGGCAGCUUACUAAACUGCAACUGACAUUGAUGCUCGAAAGUGUGGGUAUCAAACAGGAUUAGAUACCCCGGUAGUC